UAUAUAUUUCUCCGUCUAACAAAAGAUGUCUCAAGUUUGUUGAAAUUCAAAUGUAUGUAAACAUGACUUAGCGUAUAGAUGCAUUCAAAUUUAGUUAAAGUUGAGACAUACUUUGUUGGACGGAGGAAGUAUCUA
rnacentral:pre_miRNA from 1 species